UACAGAGGUCCCAAGCGUUGUUCGGAUUCACUGGGCGUAAAGGGUGCGUAGGCGGUCGGGUAAGUCUGACGUGAAAUCUUCAAGCUCAACUUGGAAACUGCGUCCGAUACUAUUCGGCUAGAGGAAUGGAGGGGAGACUGGAAUACUUGGUGUAGCAGUGAAAUGCGUAGAUAUCGAGAGGAACACCUGCGGCGAAGGCGGGUUGCUGGGCUGACACUGACGCUGAUGCGCGAAAGCUAGGGGAGCGAACGGG
rnacentral:rRNA from 1 species